rnacentral:lncRNA from 1 species
UGCUCUGUUUUUCCAUAUUUUUCUUUGGAUUUUUCCAAUCUCAUUCUUUCAUUCUGCCCAUUAACGCCGUCGAAGCUUGUCACUGAGGUUUCUGCUUGGUUCCUCAUGUUGGUUUGUAGCCGUGGUCGGGGCUUUGACUACCGAGAUGCCUCGGUUACAUGAUGUAAGGGGUAGAAACCUUUGUUUUCAAGUGGGUUUUCGUCGUCGGCUGCCUGCUACCACGGCCGCCGACUAUCAAUUGGCCGGUCGUGGUUCCUUGGGUCUCUAGCCCCCACCCUGGCCCUUGCAAGACACAAUUAGAUUUGGCCAUCCUUGAUUUUUUUGUUGAACGACCUGUAUCCUAGUUCGAACAUGAUUAGAUGAGUUUCGCCUUGAUUAGACUGACUGAAGUGUCGGGCACUUUUGCUUGGUUAGCCCUGUGAGGAUGCUGGAAUUAGGGUUUUUAUUUUUUUAAAAUAAUAUUGAUGAAAUUUUAACAAAAAGUAUAAUUUUUGAAUCUUAGGUUUUAAGAGGGAUUAUCGAAAUUAUUUGCACCUAUAGUUUAGUUUCACUCGCAAGGUAAGUAAUGAUCUGUCUUUUCUAGAUUCUUUAUUUUUAUAAUAUUAUUUUUAUAUCGAAUAAAUUAUUAAUUGAUUUAUAUGUGAUUUAUGAAUUUUAUGAGAUGAUAUUUUGAAUGGAAAAUAGAUAUCUAAUUCGGAGGAAUAUUUUUCGGACUAUUAUUAUAUUGUUUACUGAUCUUACAUCAUAUAUGCAUAUUUUGAUUGGAUUAUGAUAUAUAUAUUAUUUUGUAAAAAGAACUUACAUCAAAUUUGAACUCUCGACCUAUGUUCUGGAUCCUACCAUUUGAGGGUAUGCACUGUCACUCUGACUAUUAUUGAACCUCAUUGAUUGUGCUUUUGGCCCCACUAUAGGUAUAAAUGUGGUUCUGAUCCACUUCACAAGGUAUAAGUGCGGUAUUCUAGCCCAUUCUGCAAGUUAUAAGUGCAGUUCUAUUUCUGUCCUAGCCACAGGAUAUAAGUGUGACCAUGGUUAAAGGCUAUUGAGUUGAAUGUGAUUUGUUUGGGAUCGGAUUUAUGAAUACAUAUAUGAAUAUUUGAAAUAUAUUGAUUUUAAUGAAUUUAUGUUUUAAAGCGAAAUUGGUUAUGUUUUUACAUUGAUUUGUGGUAAUUUCGGUUUUACUAUUAUAUCUUAUGUUAUUACAUGAAUUAUCUAGUUAAGGUAUUUAUUAUUUAUAGGGCUGUUUAGCUCAUUAUACGACUUCUUAUUUAUUUAUUUAUUUAUUUUACAAAUUUAGAGAACUAAUCUAAACGGGGCUUUCAAUAUGGAAGAGCGACUAGUAGAAUUUUGGCAUAGAUUAUCUUAGUUUAGAGUUUAUUUAAGUUGAUGUAUUACUUUAGAAUUUUGUUAUAAUUGUAAGAUUUUUAAAUUUUGAGUGAGUUAUUGAAAUAAAGUUUGCAUAUUAUCAUUUAAGAUUGUUUCAUUGUAUGUUUAUGAUAUCAUGUUGAGUUGCUUUGCAUGCUUGUGGGAAGGAUUUCUUAUAAGUAUGCGGUGAUUGCCGUGACCCCGACUCGCAAUCUCGAGUUGGGGGCAUGGCAUCAACUCAUUCAAUUUUCAACUUUUUCAUGUACCUUGCCUCCAUCUUUACAAACUGCAUCUGCGAGUUGGCCACGUGACAUCAACUCAUUCAGUUAUCAACUUUUUCAUGUACCUUGCCUCCAUCUUUACAACUCCAUGUCUAAUAUAUUCAUUCGCGGUUCAUGUUAUCCUCAUGAAAAGCAUCAAAUUCACAGCAUGCUUUGUUUUUGGUUUAUGUUUUUUAUGUUCUUUUGAAUAAUGUCAUAUCAUAAAUAUAACAGGAUAGUUUUUCCAACUUACUGUUAUAUUAUCAACCAAGGCUCCUCAAAAUAAUCUUAUAACAGACAUUUACUGUUUUACCUAAAAAUCGUGGGUAGAUUUUCUUGGAACCUCUUCAACAGAAACAAUGAUCUUGUAUGGAGUUGGUUCUUCACCAAGAGAAGGAAGCAUCACUACAAUUUAGUUUUGUGACAUGUCUUAGUAAACUUUGAUUAUCAGGGAAGAUCUGAAUCAUCAUUCUUGGGGCUAGUCUCUUGCAGCAUUUGAGUAUAAUACUUGCAGGUAACUAACGUCCAGGGUGCAGUCUCAUUGACUGUAAAAUAUCUUUGCAAGUCAGCAUAGUUGCUUCUUGAUACUUGUAUCUUGUGCCAUAUAAAGAAAGGACGCAUUCAUUAGCUUUCUCUAAAUUUUCUAUCUCUACAAUUGCAUGACCUUCUGUUUUUUGCAGGAAGGCAAGAUGGUGUGCAUGGAGCAUGUCAGUCACCAGAUGAUGACAAUGAAAAUAUUCAAGAUUAGCCGCAGUUGGGAGCGGAAGGUCUUACAAGUUCUGUUCAUAGCUUUGUGUGUUUCUUGGUUAGAAAAUCAUAUGGGCCUUAGAAAAUGGAUAAUGGAUACAAAAACCUUUAUAUGACACAAAAUUCUCCAUGAGGUCUGUAUAAUGAUCUCCUACACUAGAUUUGAAAUAGUGAUACCCCUUUUUUGUGCAUAAAGGGUAUGUGGCACAUAGAUGGGUUGAGAUGACCAUGCUUCUCCUCAUCAUAUCAAAUCCUCCUUAUAUAGCAAUUUUUGUUAACUCUCAUCUUUGCCACAGAAUGUACAUAUAAAAUGCUCUUCUGACAGAUUUUUAAUGAUUACUGAAGAGAUACUGGUUGCCAACCUUAUUUGUUUUCUAGUAAGAGUCCACGAAAAAAAAAGGGGAAAAUCGCAUGUACUUGCUGGCUUGGUAGGAGGUUUAUGCUAUUUAGUGGAACCUCUCCUUGUCUCUUUGUAGGAGUAUAAUACUUGCAGGUACUAAUCAAAAGGGUAAUAGUGUAAGUUUAAAUUUAUAAAAGUUAUUAACAUUGCCAUUAAAAAAAAUAAUAAAUUGGGUAUUAUGCCAAAUACAAGAUGAUUUGAAGGUAUUACGUGUUACAUUGCCAUUAAAAAAAAUAAUAAAUUGGGUAUUAUGCCAAAUACAAGAUGAUUUGAAGGUAUUACGUGUAAAUAGUGAUUUUAGGAUGGUAAAUAUGAAAUAUGCAGUGGUGCAUAUGCAAAAAUUUCUUACAUUUUUUCACCAAAUUUACUUCCUGAUCUUUGUUGCUUACCUUGUAUUUUAUACAAUGUUUUAGCGGGACAGGCGAGGGGCUAUAAUGGGACUUAUUGAAGGAUUAGAUACACAGACUUUAGGUGGCUUCUUUGAACCUAGAUAUUGUUGAAGCAAUACUGGCAACAUAGCAGGCAUCUUGUUUGUGGCAUUGAAGUAGCUAUGAUAUUGUAUAGUAUCUAUGUUUAAAUUUAUAAUUGGAUUUUAAUUCAAGAGUUCCCGGUUAUAUAUGUUUAUCAUUUGAACUUUUGAUUGAGGCUAGCCCAAGCUGUUGGGGUAACUUGACUCAGGAUCUACAGUGAUUCCUAACUGGCUGUUAACGAGGCCCAAGAAGAUUGUGAUGCCCAAGAUCCUGUGAUGGUGAAGUAGUUAAGGAGAUCUAACUUUUGACAUUUAAAAUUUAGCAGAUACCUUGGAAAAAGAAUAUGAAGAUGGAUGUUUUAUCCAAAUUAGCCAGCUCAGAACUCUUCGACUUGAGCAGAACAUCUUACUUUGAUGUAUUUGACAAACCCAGCAUUGAUGAAAAUUAUGGCCAAGUACUCCAAGUGGAAGACGAGCUAAGUUGGAUAGAUCCCAUCGUCCACUAUCUUAAGGAGGGAUAACUUUCCACCAACCAGAAGAAGGUUCGUUAGCUUAAGCAUGACUAUUUGGUAUACUAUGAUCAGCGAUCGACUAUACAAGAGGUCCUUCGCUUUGCCACACCUCAAACAC